UCAAAAAUGACAUCUUUCUAUAUUUUGAUUCUAUGGCUGAGACAUGAGCAGAUACAUUUAAUUAACUUACAUGCAAUCUAUCUAACUUUUGAUGUAAGCUGAACUGAUUGCAUCUCUGGGCUGAAGUUGUAAAUUUGGAAAUGUUUUGCUGUCCCAUCAAACUGACUUCUCCUGAAACCUGCAGAGAUAUAGCGCUAUAUAUGUUGGUUAUAUUGGGCCUAUCGACAACAUGUGAAUUAACUCCUUUACAGCCAGACUGACCUCAAACUCUGCCGAAACACAUCAGAACAUAUUUAGAUCACAGACUUAUCCUCAUUGCUCCUCGUGUUUGUUCAUUGAAGUGAUACUGCAAUCAACAGCCUGAGCAUCUUUUGUUUGUUCACUUCUUUUUGGCAGAAGUUUAUUACAAACUUUACACCAGGACAAAAAAUGCUUUAUUUCCUUUUCAUACUCAGAUUUAUUUAAGAUUUAAGAAGAUACAUAUUGGGGAGAGUGUGUCCACCAAAGUACUGAGAAUGAUCAGGUGGAAAAUCCAUGGCAUGGUCAUUUAUUGAACAACUCUACAAAACCGCACUUUCAGCGCCUUAUUUUCUUAACCUGCAUUGUGCGGCGUGACUAAAUCCUUCUGAAGAGCGGGAGAAAAAGUUACUCUUUUCCAUUUCAUAUACUAUGUCAAUCGAACCCUGUGCUGUAUACAGGAGGUUGGAGAAGUAAGCAGCUGCUAAUAAGUGUAUUUUUAGAAGCAGAUAUCGAAAUGGCAACAUAUGUAGAGUAGAACCUUCACCUGAAAGUUGGCAUUUCCUGUUGCUGAUAGUGUGUGUGGUUUUCAGAGGGGGAGAGAGGUUAGAAAGGGAAGUUAGAUUAUCUUUGAUGAAAGCAGAAGCGUGGAGCAUCGGGUUUUCAAACCAGAAGUCUAAACAAACAAAAAACACCAAAAACUACUGCAGUUAAAAAAAAACAUAUUUCAGCUGUUUAUUAUGAAGAGAUGAGUCAGAGUUGCUCCAAAAGUUACUGAGCUGUCAUCUCUCUAUGUGUCUUUGUGUAGACUGCUCCUGAAGAUGGUGUUACCUACUCCUCCAUCAAGAUCAACGAGAAGAAAAAAGGUCAAGCCCAGGUCUGGAGGAAAAAAGAUGCUGAUGAAGGCGCUGAAGUGACCUACUCCACUUUGAAAGCUUCCUCAGUUGAUCCCAGCAUCCUCUAGGCUUCCUUAACUAGUUGUUGGCGCUGUACGUUAGCAGCAGAUCCUUUGACUCCUGUAAGUCGUGAGAUGUGGCCUCCAUGAAUUGGACUUCGUGGUCCAGCACGUCCCGAGGAUGCUCGGUUGGAUUGUAAUCUGGGGAAUUUGGAGGCCAAGUCAACCCCUUGAACUCGUUUUCGCCCCCCUGACAACCUUCUUCCGUUUCUCCAGGGUCCAGUUCUGAUGCUCAAAUGCCCAUUGUAAGUAUUUUUGGCGGUGGACGGUGUCUGAAUGUCAAGGGCAACAUGUUCCCUCGCUGCCUAAUAUAUCCCACCCAUUGACAGGUACCAAUGUCAUUCACUUCACCUGUCAGUGAUCGUAAAGUUAUGGCUGACUGAUGUAAAUAAGCGACAGCAAGUGUAAAUAAAUGUAUUAUAAUAUAGUGCAUUUUGUUUUCUAAACAGGCUUUAUUGACAAAUAUCUUUGUUUUCAUUGUCAUACUUCUUUGUUUUUAGUUUCAGAUGACAUUUGUUGGUGUUUAUAAUAUAUUUUUUUAACAUAUA